rnacentral:rRNA from 1 species
GUGGGGAAUCUUGCACAAUGGGGGAAACCCUGAUGCAGCGACGCCGCGUGAGCGAUGAAGCCCUUCGGGGUGUAAAGCUCUUUCGACAGGGACGAUUAUGACGGUACCUGGAGAAGAAGCUGCGGCUAACUACGUGCCAGCAGCCGCGGUAAUACGUAGGCAGCAAACGUUGUUCGGAGUUACUGGGCGUAAAGAGUGCGUAGGCGGUUCGCCAAGUUCGGUGUGAAAUCUCCCGGCUUAACUGGGAGGGUGCGCCGAAAACUGGCGGGCUUGAGUGUGGGAGAGGGAAGCGGAAUUCCUGGUGUAGCGGUGAAAUGCGUAGAUAUCAGGAGGAACACCGGUGGUGUAGACGGCUUCCUGGACCACAACUGACGCUGAGGCACGAAAGCGUGGGUAGCAAACAGGAUUAGAUACCCGAGUAGUCC